rfam:Dipodomys ordii contig_70388, whole genome shotgun sequence.
GGUGGCUCAGGGGUAGAGCACUUGCCUUGCAUGCAUGAGGCCCUGGGUUCGAUUCCUUAGCACCA